rnacentral:rRNA from 1 species
GUUUAUCGUACCUUGUUGCUUCGGCGGGCCCGCCUCACGGCCGCCGGGGGGCAUCCGCCCCCGGGCCCGCGCCCGCCGAAGACACACAAACGAACUCUUGUCUGAAGAUUGCAG